UUUUAAUCUUUCCUCUGUUACUUGAAGACCUUUUUUUCCAAUUGCAUCUUUCUUAGGAAAAAAUCUUGGAAUGUAUUUGCUGUUGAUGUAAGUGGUAGGAAUAUCAGGAAUUUGUGCUGGUAAAAUUGUACAUAAAAGUAGGUAUUCAAAAUCAGUUGGUGUGAUGGUGAUGUUCACAGUACCUUAAAAGCCAAGCGACAGCAACAGCUCAACAAAAAGUACAUAGGUUUUUCCUCAUCUUUUCUGGGAUCAGUUGGUUUAGUGGUAGUUAAUAUGAGGGGAAAAAAAAAAUUAUAUUGACCAGGGGAUGGAAACCAUUUUGAAAUAAGCUUUCUUCUGAAGGAAUUCUGCAAUUGAAAGUGUGCACCAAACCAGGCACAUAUAAAUCAGCACGCUACAAAUCUCAGCUUCUGUCUGAUUACAGCAGCCCUGAGCACCUGGCAGCUUCCACCACGGCUGGUGACAGCGACUGAAUCAUCUGUGCAACUUCUGAGUCAGCUUGGGUACCGACAUGGGCAGUCUCUACACCAGUACUUUUGGAAGACCAGGGAGCAUUCUCUGGCAAUGACAUCAACCAACAUAAAACAACUCCUCUCACCUGAAAUAAUGCCUAGACUUUUCCCCUAAAAUGGACUAGCUACAUGCAGACAGCCUACUGGAAAUGGUCAAUGUCCUCAAAAAGCUCCCAAAGCUUUUUGGAAUUGUUUGGGACAACACUAACCAAUAGUGCUAGCUAGUCCCAGUCAUGCCACAGCCUGAGCUGACAAUUCAAUAGCACACAGGAUCAAGGUCCAGUGCUAAGGAAUAUUCCCUGACAGCUUUUAGUUCAACAGUAUGAAUUUGUCCACAGAAACCAACUUUACCUAUUAUGAAAAUAUUAUUAUUAUUUCUUUAGCAGCCCAGGAAAGCAAAAUGGAGAAAAUACUUAGGUAAUAUGAAAAGCUGUCUUUCAGUUCCUCAUGAUAACAGACAUUCAGAGUAUCUCAAAGCUGUUUCCAAACUCUACAUAUUUUACUUACAUUUUAGGCAGGCCAGUGUUUCUAUGGCAAAGCUCUAACCAAACACCUGGGAGUAAAUGAGUGUUUGACUAAAAACUGUCAAAUAUAGCUUUUUGUGUUUAUUUAUAUAUGAAUUUUCACUCAACUAAUGCA
rnacentral:lncRNA from 1 species